rnacentral:lncRNA from 1 species
UCGCCAACUGUCGCAACCUACCCUUCAGUGGGAGGACGACAAGAGACUCACGGGAACGUCUUCCAAGGAAGGAAGACGCACGGAGUCGCCACCAACGUUUAUUUGAGGAAAACGUCAGAAAAACCAAAAUGCGUGUGGUCUAUGAACUUUAAUCGUGAAAGGUUCGGGAGUUGUAUUUAUGCACGGGGAAGGUAUUAGCACCCCACGCGUCCGUCACAAGGGACGGCAGCCUUUAACCGAGUGUGCAAACAUGACUUCAAUUUGUUUUAUUUCCCCUUUUUUUAGGUUUUUAUGUCUUUUUAUGCCUUUUUGUAUUUUUUAUCUUUUUGUGGUCGACAAGGGUGUUUCCCUUGCUCCUACGUAUCCUCAAUUGCGAUGAGGGAAUCAGACCUACGUAGUUCUUUUAAAAGCGAUAAAGCCAUGUGUUGAUUUUAUGCUUUUGAAAGGUCCAUGUUAACCAAUAAAAGCAAAGAGGACCAUUUAAGGCGUUGGACCUUAGAACGGUUUCAAGUGAUUUUUGCGGACAAAGCUUGAUUUGUGAGUUGGUUUUAGCCUUA